rnacentral:rRNA from 1 species
AUUGAACGCUGGCGGCAGGCCUAACACAUGCAAGUCGAGCGGAUGAAGGGAGCUUGCUCCUGGAUUCAGCGGCGGACGGGUGAGUAAUGCCUAGGAAUCUGCCUGGUAGUGGGGGAUAACGUCCGUAAACGGGCGCUAAUACCGCAUACGUCCUGAGGGAGAAAGUGGGGGAUCUUCGGACCUCACGCUAUCAGAUGAGCCUAGGUCGGAUUAGCUAGUUGGUGGGGUAAAGGCCUACCAAGGCGACGAUCCGUAACUGGUCUGAGAGGAUGAUCAGUCACACUGGAACUGAGACACGGUCCAGACUCCUACGGGAGGCAGCAGUAGGGAAUAUUGGGCAAUGGGCGAAAGCCUGAUCCAGCCAUGCCGCGUGUGUGAAGAAGGUCUUCGGAUUGUAAAGCACUUUAAGUUGGGAGGAAGGGCAGUAAGUUAAUACCUGGCUGUUUUGACGUUACCAACAGAAUAAGCACCGGCUAACUUCGUG